UACGUAGGGUGCGAGCGUUAAUCGGAAUUACUGGGCGUAAAGUGUGCGCAGGCGGCAGAGCAAGUCGAGUGUGAAAGCCCCGGGCUUAACUUGGGAAUUGCGCUCGAAACUACUUUGCUGGAGUGUGGCAGAGGAAGGUGGAAUUCCACGUGUAGCGGUGAAAUGCGUAGAGAUGUGGAGGAACACCAAUGGCGAAGGCAGCCUUCUGGGCCAACACUGACGCUCAUGCACGAAAGCGUGGG
rnacentral:rRNA from 1 species